rnacentral:rRNA from 1 species
GACGUAGGAGGCGAGCGUUGUCCGGAUUCAUUGGGCGUAAAGAGCGCGCAGGCGGCUUGGUAAGUCGGAUGUGAAAACCCGAGGCUCAACCUCGGGCGUGCAUCCGAUACUGCUCGGCUAGAGGUAGGUAGGGGAGAUCGGAAUUCCUGGUGUAGCGGUGAAAUGCGCAGAUAUCAGGAGGAACACCGGUGGCGAAGGCGGGUCUCUGGGCCGUAACUGACGCUGAGGAGCGAAAGCGUGGGGAGCGAACAGG